GAGUGCGAUCAUACCAGCAUUAAUGCACCGGAUCCCAUCAGAACUCCACAAUUAAGUGUGCUUGGGAUAGAGUAGCACUGGGUUGGGUGACCUCCCAGGAAGUGCUAUUAUUGCACCAU
rfam:Picea glauca, whole genome shotgun sequence.